UGCCAGCAGCCGCGGUAAUACGGAGGGUGCAAGCGUUAUCCGGAUUUAUUGGGUUUAAAGGGUCCGUAGGCGGGCCGAUAAGUCAGUGGUGAAAUCUCGCAGCUUAACUGUGAAACUGCCAUUGAUACUGUUGGUCUUGAGUAAAUUUGAAGUGGCUGGAAUAAGUAGUGUAGCGGUGAAAUGCAUAGAUAUUACUUAGAACACCAAUUGCGAAGGCAGGUCACUAAGAUUUAACUGACGCUGAUGGACGAAAGCGUGGGUAGCGAACAGGAUUAGAUACCCUGGUAGUCCACGCCGUAAACGAUGCUAACUCGUUUUUGGGCACUUGUGCUCAGAGACCAAGCGAAAGUGAUAAGUUAGCCACCUGGGGAGUACGAUCGCAAGAUUGAAACUCAAAGGAAUUGACGGGGGCCCGCACAAG
rnacentral:rRNA from 1 species